GGGCGCAUGGUUUAGUGGUAUAAUUCCUCUUUAGCAUCCAAAGGUCCUCACGACCUAGGAAAGAUAUUCAUAUCUGAAGUUAGAGGCGGUCCCUGGUUCGAUUCCUGGUGUGUCCA
rnacentral:tRNA from 1 species